ACUUCGAGCGGGAAAACGAUGAAUUUGUAUUAACGUUGUAAAUAAAAAAAAAAUAAAAUUUUUUAUUUGUGUUUAGUAUUAUGCGUCAUGUACUAACCAGUAGAAUGAAAUUAACGCGUGUGUUGUGAAGUUUAACUUUAUAUAAAUGAUAUGUCGUAAUCCUUUCGAAAUUGUGCGGUUAUGAAGGAUAUUGUAGGAAACAAGGUAUCUGUGUGUUCACAAAUAGCGGAACUGUCAACAGGAAAGCAAUUUCAGAAGACUAUUUAAUAAAAAUUGGGGAAUGACCAAGAAAUGUCUGUUGUAGAAGACUUUUUGAAUGUUUUACAGGCAUGGACUGGAAAAAAAGUACCAAGGCACGUGUAUUUACAAAUAGACGAGGUAAAACAAAAGGCAUGUUCAGAUGGCUUGCUGGAAGAAGACAUUCAUAAACUGGUCAAGAACGUGGUUACACGGAAAUUACCAAACAAGGGAUACCUUGAAAUUUUGCACUGCCUUAUACCCAAGACAACAGUUUCUAAGGACUCAGUAAAAUUGUUGCUUGGGUGGGUCACGUCUAAUUUCAUCCAUAUCUCUGACAGUGUGAUCGUUGCUGCACUGCAGUGGACUUGCUGCUUACUGGAGUUUGAGUUGACAGACAAACAAGCAGUAAAUGAUUUCUAUGUGGUUUUCUUCUUCCUUUUGACUAGGAAAAAUUUGAUUCCUCUUGCGUGCAGGAUAAUAUAUUUCCUGACCAAGUCAGAUGACGUGACGAGGUGGUCGGUCACCCAUGUGCUUGCUACUGAAAAAAUUACCCAGGGGUUGAAAAAACCAGCAUUCGCUGUUUUGAACCUGUUCAAGUCCUUCAGGCCGGAAUGUGUCCCAGAAGACGUGCCGCCUGUCAGCACGAGCGUGGUGUUCCGGCAGCUUCCUGACGUCCUGCAGCUGUACUUCGGCCGUGCCCAGCAGCGCAACGAGGCUCGCCAGGCUCCCAAGGGGGAAGAGCUCCACUGGAGAACACUUGCUUCCGCUAACAGAAAGAAAAGAAAAUUUUGCAGAGAGUUGAUCCCCCCUGUUGACUAUGUCAACAUUGGACCCAGCAUGUAUCAGGAUAAAACAACUCAUUACGUGCUGAAAUAUUCUAGUUUUGAAGAGUUGUGCAGCUAUCAACUGAGCCUAGCAAUGCCUAGCAACAUAAUGUCCCUCUUGGCCAAUCACGCUGGUCGCCACAUUAUUGCCUUUGGGAAUUUACAGCUUCAGAGCAGGUUCUCUUACUUGCUGUUCAACAAACUUUAUGAUGUACUCAUCUUAAAAGCACAAUAUUCCACGGAAGAAAUUGAAGAAUGCCUGAGUUAUUUGGUCAAUCUGCAGGAGUACAUGCAGCAAGGCGUCCCAAUUGUGUCCAAGGUGCUAUCAGAGUACAUCAUCUUGUGGGAUGGGGCAGAGUUCCAGGAUCUCAUCUUCUGUCUCCUGGAAUGGGUCGCCAUAAAGUCGUAUGAAGAUCUUUAUGACUGUGUUCUUCAUCAUUUACGAAACUCAUUCCUUUUGAUGGAUGGUGAUCAAAGAUGUGCUAUGAUCAGAAUGUUUCGCCGACUUGUGACUAACAUGUAUAUGAGCAUUCUGUACAGAAAUCGUCAGUCAUUUGAGAAACCUUUCUUGACGUGUCAUGAAGAGUGGAAUGCGGCGUCAAUUCUCGAGAAAGUGGUCUCAUUUGUGCACGAAGAGCUCAUAGUGUUGGGAUUUUCUCAAUUUUUUGAUGACUACCUAUUUGUAGAAGAAGUUCUUACCUUCUGUGAAACCGUUCUGUAUGUUCAAGAAGAUAGCAGUGUACUUCUGAAUAUUGUGAUUCCAACAGCAGUAGUUGCACACUGUAUAUUUGGACAUCACUACUUUUUGAUAUCCCGUGUUCACAUGAUAUUGGAAAGGUACAGGAUUCUGUUAAAAAUGCAUAAAAGUGACAUUGUCAGUAAAAAGUGGGAGAAAGAACAACAAAUUCUACAGAGAACCUGUAGGGAAUUCAAUGCUGCAUUGUUUGGCAAAGUAGAAUUUUCUGAUGAUGUAGUUGAUGCUGUGGCCAAUUACAAGCUGUACAGAAAUCUACAGCAAAUGUUUCAUCUGAAUCAGCACAUGGCAUUUUCCUCGCACAUCAGUUUGAUGAAUACAGCGAAGGCGUUAGUGCUGGAAAAUGGAGCCAAGCGGUUUGCCUUGGAUGAUGUGAGAAAUAUUUUUGAAGAUAUUAAAGAGAUAGAAGAAGAAGAAGAUGAUUGAAGAUUUUUCUGGUCAGCGGUAAAGUCAGGAGCAGCAAAAAUAGACUUUUUUCACAUUCUUGCUGCCGAUGGUGUUUUUUUUACGUUGAGAUGUAGGAUAAUACAGAAUGUCGGAUAAGAAAAGGUAGCAUUAUCUAUGCGGAAAAGGCAGGGACUGUCUCAACAGCGCUCUCUACACUGCUGGUUAAACAAGGAGGAAUGUGAGCACCCUGGUAGCAAAUACAAAAUCCAAGGAAUUCACAGCUGACUGUAUAAGUUUUUCAAACAAAGCACAGAUUGGCAACAAAUCUGGAUGGCAUCCAUCUCGCAACUGGCCUGUAUGCAGUAUUUUGUCUGUCCGUGCAUUCUGACGUCUCAACUGGUUGCCCUCUGCAUGUUGCCAAUCAUGUAAGCUCAUAUAUUACAGAUUUAGGCUAUAUUUACAAUUAAAAUUAACAAAUUAACAGUUAUAAAUAUGAAUUUUCCAGCAAGAAAGUAAAACUAAAUUUUGUACACAAUUUGUGAUUUUGUGUGUGUAUAUUGAUGUCAACCGGGCCUGCGCCCCAGAAGCCUGGUCAGCCUCUGCCACCUUUCCCCUCGCCCCCCGUCCCACUUCCUGUACUGACAGUCUCUCCGUCACGAGUACGUAAUCGUGUGUGUGUUUGAAUAGCGCGUCACCAACUACCUCAAGAGGGCUCUGUAGCGGCAGUGCGACGUCCCCCUAAAUUUGUAAUAAUUAUAUUUUAUAGCUUUUCAUUUUGUCCCCAUUUAUUUGUGUCGCCACUGAGGGGCGGGAGGGCUUUUGUUUUGUUUAGCAUGUAAGUUUUAGUGUGUAAGUUAAAGACGUUGCCGGGCGGACCCGAGUGGACCUGAACAUGAAUGAAGUAACAUGUAUUUGAAUUUAAGUAAUUAAUAAACCUAUGUUAAAUAGUAAUAGAGCCAUACGAGAGUGUGUCUUAAUUUAGGAGUGUUCUUGUAUUUCUUUAUGUAAGAUUGCAAGGCAUUUAAUUGAAAAGGCGGGAAGGCGCCAUGUUGUUCCGAGGGAGCCCUUCGCUCGGCCAGUUCUCCACCGCCAACGACUGUGGUAAGACGCUGCCUUCCGCACCCGGGGACUUCACUCUUUGUUCGCUGACCAUUAAUUCCAUUUUUGCUUAAUUACUUCAAAUUUCUUUUCAUGUUAUCCCCGGGGCUUGCCUCGGUCGGGGGACUGUUUAACUCUUAAUGAGACUUUUAAUGUUCUUAAGUAAUCGCUUGUGCAGGCCACGUGCGUGGGCCUUAUUCCUGUGUUCCAAUUCUUGGAAACGCACCCUCGUGAGGCCAUGGAUGGGAGUACGCGCACGUAUUAAACAUCUUAAUUAUAAUUGUCUUGUAUUUUUUUGCAGCGACCACGUGGCGACCUAUACCUCGUGAGCAGGCGUGUGGGACGCCUGGAGAGCCCACUAUUACUUGGUACAACAUAAGUGUGCCCGACAUUGAGAGCGGACCAGGUCUGAGCGUACUACGGGAGUUAACCGAGGGUCCAGUCUUGCCUCACAGGGGUGACGUCACGCCCUGAGACGGAUCUUAGCCAGGUUCACGUGGUGGCGCCCAUUGUCAAUCAACACUGUAGCGACCCUCACGAAACCCGAACCACAACAAUAUAUAUAGAUACACAGACCCAUAAUUAAUAGAAAAUGUACCAAUUACGUUGCAUUUCCACACAAUUUUGAGAAUUUUUUGUUAUUAGAUUAAUUUUUCUGAAAGAAAUUCAAACUAAUUAAUGAUUGCCUUAAAACCUGAAAUUUUUCAGUUCUGUAAACCAUUUAAUUCUCUAUUGGUACUUGAUAAAAAUGUUAAAAAUGUAAAUUUGGCAGCUAAUAAAAAAAAUGCAAUUUUUUCUUCAAGUUCAGCAUUCAAUGUAAAUGUAAAAAAAAAUGACAUGAAACUGAAUGCACUCCCUUAAACACAUGGUUACACAGUUCUACUGCAUUACAAUUUUACUUCUUAUUAGCAAAACAAAACAAGGCUCCUUUUCUAAUAGCACAAAGAAUAUUAUGCAUUCAGUAAUAAUAUGGUAACAUUUUAACAUUUAGGUUUGUUAUGUUAAGAUCAAAUUAUAUCCCUGCAGUGCAAAUACAAAUACUCAUUAAAAAAGGGCAAACAUAACUAUGCAGUAUACAGGAGAAUGGCCACAUACAAGGGUAAGGAUCCAGUAUGUAUAUUCCAAAAAAAAUGUUUCCAGAAUUUUUUCAUUUGCUUUGUUUUUAGUUUACUAGAACUCUGCUGCAUUUUAUCAUUUUUGUAGUUGAACGAUCUGGUGAAAUAUAUGGUGAUAUUAAGUACUUAUCUAACAAAGGACAAUUUAACCUUGCACAAUGUAAAUUACCUAUUUUCUGAUGAAAGCAAAAAGUCUUGUGCUCGAGUUUCCUGACUUACAUGGUAUUUUCGCAGGCAUCUCUGGUAAAGGCCCUCCGAUUGGUAUCUGCAGAGGAGUGAUGUCGAAGGCCGUCAUAUCAUCCUCGCCAC